CCUGGCAUUGAUGUCAAGCUCACCGGUCGGUAGUUACCUGGGUCUUUUUUUGUACCCCUUUUUGAAAAUGGGGGCAGCUUUUGCCCGCCUCCAGUCUGUAGGGACCUUACCUGUUCUCCAAGAAUUCUCAGUUCUUGGUAGCUUGGCCCAAGUCUAAAUAACCUUCCACCACUGCUUUCAUAUAUAUAAUUUAUCAUGAUUUAUGUGCUGCUUAAUCAUCCAAACUUCUUAAGUGGUUUACACAACACAAAAUAUGCAUUAAAAUUAACAGUAGAAGCAAUGAAUAUGGCUCCAACAUGGUCCUGCAUAGCACAGAAAGCCCAGGCUUUUCCUCUGCAUACGUCCUCCUCUCCUGAUGCCUGGACAUUGGGGGUAGGGAAAUUUCUGUGACUCCUGGGGGUCUGUGUGGCCCCACACCUCCUUCCUAUGCAUAUGAUGCCCUUUUGAGGCCUUGGCACAAUUUGAGUAAUUGUGCAUAGGUCUGUUCUUUUUUGUUACCUGUGAGGAGAAGCCACUGCUGGCUGUAAGCUUUCCACAGAGCGGGAGAUCCUUCCCAGUCAGAGUUGAACCUGGCUUAAUCCUAUUUAUAGGCUCAUCUAUAUCUGCAGCUGAAAGACUCCAGAUACAAAUAUGGGUGAGGAGGAGAUUUAUGAGGGUCCCAUCCAGCCAAGGUUAAAUCGCACCUAAACUCAACUUCAGCACAGCCCUCACACACCAAGUCUCUUACUUUUGUUUGCACUUGGCCAUUUUCAUUGGCGUGAGAACUCGGGAGGUGGAUUAGGCCUCAGAGGACACCUUUUAUGCAGCCUGAUAAAAAGGCUUAUAAGAACACAGUAGUCUGGGGAUGGCGAGGAAGCAAAGGCUAAAGAAUGGGGAUUAUUUUAUUUACAUUUGCUUCGAGAGGUCUGCUGCAGGGUGUGAUUUGUGGCUCAGAUAUGGCAAUGCCGGAGAUUGAGUAGAAUGGGCAUUGUAAAAGUAUUAGGUUCCCUCUAUCACAGCCUCCUUUGUCUUCCUGCUUAGAUACAGCAUUCUUUGCAUUGUCGAGUGUGCCAGGAACUCUGACUCAAUUGUUUUCUUUAACUGUUGACAGCUGAAUCAACAGUUUGUCCAGCAGAGGGGGCCUUGAACAUACUGCAGGCAGCAGAAUUUUCGCUUAAUAAUUACAUAGUUGAGAACGAGCUUGGAUGCGCUUCAAAUCUGGCUGAAUAUUUCUGGUUCCAGCAAGCAAAGAGUGGGAGAGGGGAGGUGCAAGCUGGCAAGGAAGUACAGUACUGUAUAUAGGCUGUCUGCUAAAUACAGUUACAUUAAAAGCAAAGCCCUUGUUGCCUGGAAGAGGGAAGGGAGAUCCAUUUCAUCUUUUAAAGGUGCCAUUGCUUUUCCUUAUUUCUCUUUGGCACUACAGGUUGAUAUCUAUUCUUUUCUGCAUCCUCUGUUGCAUCUAGAAGCAGUUUUAAUCUGGAUUUACCUUAUUAUUUCAGUUACUUUUUGAACGUUUGAAGUACUUUUUCAUUGAUAAUGUCAUUGUUUCACUCUUAAACUGUUUUGAGGUUUUAUUACGAUUGCACAGUAUAUAAAUGUUGGGGGGGGGGGGAAAUCCCUGGCAGUGAUGGUGAUUAACCCUUAUGAGCAGGGUAUAAAUGAUAAAAUUAUUAUUACUAUUUGUCAAGAAGUAUUAUUACAGGCCUCUGUGACACUAUUAAGAUAACCACAAAAUUGGGACCAGAAGCUAUUCUAAGCAAAUACAAGGACACCUAAAUUGUGAUUAGACCAAAUCAACAAAUGUUCCAAGCAUCCACCUGUAUUUUGGGUAACAUCCAACAUUAGUCAUAUAGAGUAAGCCCAGUUAGUCUACUUUGAUAUUACCCUGUAUAUCUAUGGAAGCAACAUCACAUUACUUUGUUAUGGUAAGGCAACUGAUGUGAAGAGCAUGGUUUUCCAGCCACAUCUGCCUUUAUCUUCUGCCUCUUGUUAGGAAUUCUACCCCAAACCCAAAGCUGCUCAGCGAGGUUCCUUUCUCUAGCCAUGAUUUCAUCAGUCUUUGCCCAAGUGGCAUGUUUGCUCUACCGGGCAACAGUAAUGGAAAGGUUUGUCAGGACUGAGACAAAUACAGAGCCAUCUGUUAGCCUGGGAUGAGGCCUAUUGCAGUUCAAGAUACAAUUAAACAUGAGGUUUGGUAUUUGCUGUUAGCGAAGCCAUCAACAAGGCUUUGUCUUAAAGCAGGGAUGAGGUUGGACUUGUAAAAGGGUAAAAGAGUAUUGGGAUAUGAUAUAUAAUAACUUCACACUUUUAGAGAAAUUCUAGAACCUACUCUAGGUUCUGUUCUGCACUGGGUUUUUCAAAACACACACAUGAGAGAGAUUUGUUAGUUAAGGGUGUUGAUAAUUAACAUGGAUUGAUGCUGAUGUAGGAAGUAACCAUACGUUUGGUCUCUUUUACAGGGUUGUCUGGAUCUAAUGAUACUGGAUUGGCAUGAUGAAGCUACUUCCGAAAUGUGAGAAAACAGGCCUUAGAAGUAAGCCACAGUGGGGUUCAACUCCCAAUUAGGCAUAUUCAGGAUUUGCCUGCAAGGUCUUUCAUCCUCCUGUUGUGUGAUCAAAGCAGGAAAGCAAAUUGCACUCUGUGUGUGUGAGGAAGAGAGAAAACCAGCAAUCACAUUGACUCAGAUGUUUGUUACAUUGUGCUUGCUUCAGAAAGCUUUGAGUGCUUUAUGCCUGUGUGGCAGGUUAGUCUGAGAAACAGUGAGCUGUAAAAGGGAGUAGAGACCCAGACAGUCUCUUAUACAAAACCUACGUUGUGAAACAGGGCUGUAGCUCAAUGGAAGGGCAUGUGUUUUGCAUACAGAAGGUCCCAGGUUCAAUCCAUAGCUGUCAACGUUUCCCUUUUUUUAAGGGAAAUUCCUAUUCGGAAUAAGGGAAUUUCCCUUUAAAAAGGGGAAAAGUUGACAGCUAUGGUUCAAUCCCCCAUAGACAGGGCUCUGAAUGUCACCUACCUGAAAACCUGGAGAGCCACUGCCAGUCAAAGUGGCUAAAACAGAACUAGAUUGUCCAGUUGUCUGAUCUAGUUUAAGGCAGCUGCCUGCAUCCCCAAAUGUACACUUGAGGAAAGCAAAUACGUGUCUUGGAUCAUAGUUAAAGGAGCACAGCAGUUGGGUGAUUUCACGGUUGCCGUGUCACAUACGUGAACUAAGAAGCAGCUCAUCUUUUAGCAAAGCUUAUUUUUGCAGAUUCCCUCUUUUCAAAACAGCCCUCUGCACUCCCCCCCAAAAAACUGCUCGGCAGGCUCAGUGGAUUAAAAAUGUUAGAUUUCCAAGUAGUCCCAGGGGCCGGCGGCUUAAGAUAGCGCUCAGAGCAGUGGGGAGUUGGCAGAUCUUCAUAUUUCCUUACUUCUACAUCUUUGCAUCGUUUUGCAGUUAAGCAAGUUGUAAAGGGGCAACUGGUCCCUUUUGUGCCGUCACCAGCGUGUGCCCUCGUACAACAGAUGCCUAAGUUGUAGGGCAUAAAUUGUCAAAACUGGAAGUAGGCAAGGGAGCUGCAAAACAAUGGGAUGAUUUGAUUGUGGGAAAAUAGGGACAAGCCCUCUGGAUGUUGCUGGACUCCUCUCACACAUCACAUCUCUCCAUCCUCCAUCCAGGAAAACAAGAGGCAUUAUCAAGAGUUCAGGGACCAUUUCCAGGCAUAGAAAAGCAUUUGAGGAGGGUGCCAGUGAGGAGAGCCAGUGGCAAGCGUGGUGGGUUGUAAAGAGAGGCCUGGAGGGAUGUUUCAUGCCUCCCUUUCUGCUACCAUAUAACAAACCCUGAAAUGCUACACUGCAUUUGCGAAAGAUUUAGCGGAACACCACUAACACAUUCUGGCCUUCUAUCCCCCAUCCUCUGAAACGAAGCCAUUGGCCUAGGUCGCAUGUCACAUUAAACCAUAGUUUAAAACAAUGAUUUAAUGAGAACAAGCAAUGUGCCGGUGCAUAAAAGUCCCCGCAGCAUCUCUUCCUCACUCUGCUGCCACACUGCAGACAAAGCAAGCCAGAGGCUGGCUUGUCAUGUCCUCUGAACCUGGACUUUCGGUUUUCCUCCCCCCAAAACCCUGAAGUGGUCAGCGAGGAAUAAACAUUGAUUUUAUGAGUUGCGGUUUGUUUGGAGGAAACAGACCAUGAGCCUGGGUUCAAAUUAUAUAAGCCAAACUGUGGCAUAGUUCAUCCAUGGCAGGCAGGAGGAGGAGGAGAGCACCAUGGGAACUUUUGAACAGCAUGCUGCUAGUUCACAGUAAAUCAUUGUUUGUUUUAAACUGUUUAGGGAAGUUUUUAAUAUUUAAUGUUGUAUUGUUUUUAACACUUGAUUGGGAGCCGCCCAGAGUGUCUGGGGAAACUCAGCCAGAUGGGCGGGGUAUUAAUAACAAUAAUAAUAAUAAUAAUAAUAAUAAUAAUAAUAAUUUUUUAUUAAACUAUCAUCUGGUGUAAUUUUGAACCAGGUUACUCUCAUUUACAGAAUUUGCUAGUUGUUGUUGCUGCUGCUGCAGCAGUUAUAUCAGUUAUAACUGCUGCAGCAGUUAUAUCAAAUUCUGUGAUCUGAAUUCUGUAAUUCUUCCUGCCUGCCAUCUACAUUUGCUUUUGUUUCCACCACUGAUCACUAACAAUCAUACCAUUUUUUUUAAAAAAAGGAUGAUCAGUUGCUUUGGAAAGCAUUGUAAGGAUUACAAAUCAGUUUAAUCACCUUCCCAGCACACACCUGUAAAUGCUCUGGGGGAGCACAUUAAGGAAAACAGGUGAAAUUAGCAUCCUCGACACUCUCUGCACAUUUAGUCCAAAUUGUAGUAAUUUCAACCCACUUCUUGCAAGCAACUAAGUGUCUUCAGGUAAUAGGCAAAGGGGAGGCUAGGCUGCCGCUGUUUCCAUUCUCAGAUCCAAAUUGCAUUGUUCUCACCGAACAGAGGUUAGUGCCAUUGUGGGGAGAAGCGUUAAUGAAACCUGUUUGCACUAGUUGUUUACCAAGCCUGAGGGCUGAUUUGAGGCUUCUGCUGUGUGCAUCUCAGCUGAAUUAUUUGCGCUAAAUACACCUGAGAAUUGUUGCUGGCACAGUGUUAUGGUGCUGAAAGCUGCACUGAAGUGAAAACAAAUUUUCACACACAAUAAAUAUGGACUAAGUAUCAACAAUGGAAAACUCACUUUUUGGAGGUGGCUGGUGGCUUAACAAAAGCUUGGCAGCCUUAGUUAGGGAACAUGUUUCUAUUGCCUUGGAUCCUACAUGAAGCAGUAAGGACAUGAUAGCACGGCCUCGGCCCAGUAUACCUGAAGGAGCGUCUCCACUCCCAUCAUUCAGCCUGAACACUGAGGUCCAGAGCCAAGGGCCUUCUGGCGGUUCCCUCAUUGUGAGAAGUGAGGUUACAGGGAAACAGGCAGAUGGCCUUCUCGGUAGUGGCACCCACCCUGUGGAACGCCCUCCCAUCAGAUGUCAAGGAAAUAAACAACUAUCUGACUUUUAGAAGACAUCUGAAGGCAGCCCUGUUUAGGGAAGUUUUUAAUGUUUGAUGUUUUAUUGUGUUUUUAAUAUUCUGUUGGGAGCUGCCCAGAGUGGCUGGGGAAACCCAGCCAGAUGGGCAAGGUAUAAAUAAAUUAUUAUUAAUAUUAUUAUUAUUAUUCCUUAAAAUCUGGCAUUUGUUGUGGCUUGUGCUUUCAUAGCCUACAGCCUACUUAAUUCUUGGAUCUGGUAUCUCUUCUGCAACUUUCUCAGAGAAGCAAGUCACUGAGCAUGCUCCCAUUGCUUUGGAGAGAAGGGAUUAGUUGAUAUGCCCUCUGCUGGUUUUACAAUGUAUCCUUCUCCUCUUAAUAGUGAUGAUAACAGCAUGGGUUGACGUUGGCCAUGAUCCAUAACCAUCUUAUAACAUACCCAUACCCAUCUUAUAACAUACUCGAUUUUGAUGCACACACCCACAAAGCCAACUUUGAUUUGAAUUGAGAAAAAGGACAGCCUAGCUAGGACAGUCUCAUACCUCCUCCUAUUCUGAGCCAUGUUGAAUAAGAUAGCCAUUCAGAUUCCCCUUGGUUAGUACUGCAUGCAAAAGUUAUUUAUCUGUAGUGCAUUGUAAUGGGUUUAGGGGUUGCUCGUGCGUAAGUUGCCGCCACUCCUGGCUAGGUUACCUGGUUAACCCUUUCUGACUGAGCAGCCUCCAGCAUCGUGACUGUCUCAGUCGCUGGCAGAAUCCGUCAGUGGGCGUUUCUUAAACCUUUUCCAGCAUAAAAGUUGUUUGACGCCAAGUCUCCUCCUACUCUCCCUGCGCGGAAGUCUUCUGCGCAGGGAGGGUGUGGGCAGCGGAGUACCCGUACUCUCUCCGCUGGUCUCCAGCGAAGAGUCUUGGAGCCUCCUCCCCGAUUCCCCCACCUGCCCCCCUUCUCCACUGGUGUUACGCUGAUUUCCUUCCCCAACAGAUGGGCUACCUCUCUCCCUACUGGGACCCUCUCCUGCAUCCCUUUGGAGCCUUCCCUCCACCUCUAGCUCCGAUGGCAGUUCCCUGACAUGCAUAAAUAGUAUUAUUACUAUUUUCUUGGCACAGUAUUUUGUAUCUCUCCUGAGUAAACGGUGAAAUAUUUUUUGCUGGUGAAAUGCGUGAAUACGCUCACGUCUUCUCCUGUACUGUGUAUGAUAGUCAUGAUACAAAGCUGCAUGUGGUCCUAAAAUAUGCAUAAGAUCCCUAUUUCUGGGGUGAAUCCAGAGUAAGAGCAAUACAUUGGAAGUAUAUGGGAGGAAAAGGAGGAGGUGGUGGGGUGGUUCACUUAGCAUCUGUUCAUAACAUAGAUUUUUAAAAUAGAUUUGAUGAAAGCUCUUUUCUCUUUCAGAUACAGUGGUACCUCGGGUUAAGAACUUAAUUUGUUCUGGAGGUCCGUUCUUAACCUGAAACUGUUCUUAACCUGAGGUACCACUUUAGCUAAUGGGGCCUCCUACUGCUGCCGUGCUGCUGCUGCACAAUUUCUGUUCUCCUCCUGAAGCAAAGUUCUUAACCUGAUGUACUAUUUCUGGGUUAGCAGAGUCUGUAACCUGAAGCGUCUGUAACCCGAGGUACCACUGUACUUAAAAGAGAGAGAGAGGCAUAUUUAAGUGUGUGAUCAGAAGAGUUCAGAUAGAAAAACAGGGCCUUUAUUUGAGUUUCUACAUUAGAUUCUUACAGCUUGCUCUUACAUAACAAUUCUGUUUCAGCAGAUUUAUCACUGAGAUACUUCAGGCACCUUAAGUAUGACAUCCAUUGUACUGGAAAUCUUAGAGAUGAAUCUAACUGUUGCUUGCAUCAACUUCUGAUUGUUUUAUUUAGCAGCCAUUUUCAACAAAGGUGCUGAGACCAAUAACAGAAGCUUUAAAUUGGCAUAGGAGGCUAAAGAGAGCCUUAGGGUGAAUUGAAAUGAUACACAGAACAAAAUAUUAAUGAAGUUCUGCUGAUUGACAAGAUUUUGUCCUUAUUUGGUGCAGAGAGCACUAACACAACCCCCAGUUUGUCACCAUGCUAUUAUCUUGCCUGUUCAGGUCCCCACUGCAUCUGAAAAUGUUGGCUGGCUACCAAUUCAGACAGGCUGCAUUUGCAGGUUUUGUUGACACCCUCUAUUGCAAAGGUGGCUAAUCUUAUUUGAGGGUUAUUUUUCCUCACAGCCAACCCUACGACAUGACGGUGGUUACAGCUGAUGGGAGAUGACUUCCAAUCACUUCUGGGGGGCCUUCCCCAUCUCAUCUUUGGGAGCAGCAAGUUCAUGAAGUCAAGAGGUGGAGGAGGCAGCAAGAAUCUCAUUGCGCAGGUACCAUGGAAACUUCUGCAUUCACCAGGUCUCACCUUGUGCAGUGUCCAGGGUCGGAUUUAGGUUUGAUGAGGCCCUAAGCUACUGAAGGUAAUGGGGCCCUUUAGAUGUCCAGCUGUCCUCUGCCAGCAACAAAUUGUCGCUGUUUUUUGUGUUGAAUAUAUGCUAUAUGGUAAUUUAUGGACCUAAUAGGUAUCUAAAGCCAUUUGCACAUCACACAAUAUGUAUUUUAUCAAAGUAAUUGAUAUAGAAAUGAGCAAACCAGUGAUCUUUUAGGGAGCAGGCUAGCAGGCCGGGCCCAUUACUUACAUCAUAGGAGCCUACACAACACAAAACACUGUUGCUAUGUGUAGGUUUUAUUUUAUUUGUUUUUUAUCUUAUAACUUGGAAAUGUACAGCCAGGUUUUUUUUUCUUUUACGUUUUUUGGGGCCCCCAUGAGAGUGGGGCCCUAAGCUAUAGCUUGUUUAGCUUAUAUGUAAAUCUAGCACUGGCAGUGUCCACUUCUGCCUCUCUUUGUGUUAGCUCAUCUAGUCACCUUUGGCUGUAGCUGAUGUUCAGGGAGAGAGCCCUGUCUGUGUUCUUUCCAGCCUUUGCCCCUCCGUGUGGGAAAAGCCCAGUCAAAGCAACCAGCAGUGUCUGCACUAUUGCAGCCCCUUUCAUACUCAUAUCCAAGACUGCCCAGCCACAGCUUGCACUCCAUGGAUGCAGAAAGGAACUCGGUGGUGGCAGCAGGAAUGGGCACCUGGGGAAAUCCACUUCUCCUCGUUAAUUUCAAGCAGCCAGAGUGCAGCAAGCAUGACAAUAAAACAUUUGUUGUCUUCUCUCCUGUUGGUGUGCAACUGCAUGGGUGCAGCAAGGAACAAAAAUAAAAUGAAUACAAAUAAUAAUAUAAUAAUUCAUAAUAUUAUUGCUAAUAAUUAACCCUGUAGCACUGAAAAGGCUGCAUGCUUUCUUAGGGAACAAGUCCGACAGCAUGGCACUGAAUGGGACUUGCUUCGGAGG